GCAGUUUCCUUCAUACAGGCACCGGAAGCAGGGGCCUCCAGCGCGGGCGCCCCGUCGGUCGGGGAAGGCUGGCGUCAUUGCCAGCGCUGCUCUGGGGCGCACUGCAGUGUCUCUGGGUGAAAUGUCACAUCUGCAAACGGGGACACUGUCCCUCCUUCUGUGAGACCCAGGAGGCUAACCUAAGUCCACAUCUGUGCGCAGCGUCCAAGGGCCGUCCCUCACCCCCCUCCUGGUGGCACCGCUGGCGGCAAGUUACGGAUUAACCAGAGGCCCAGGCUGUCAUGGCGGCAGGAGGGCGGCCUUGCGGUCUCUCCACGGCCCACCCCAACAGGUGUCAGCAGUUCCAGAAUGUGGCGGCUGGCCAGCCUCUUCCUGCUCCUGGCCGGGGGAAUUUCCAGCUCACCCGUCAGUCCUGAGAACAACCGCAUGUGGCAUGUGGCGGCAGGUGCUCAUUUCUGGACCAGUUUACCCAGCACAGUAAGACAGCCUCAGUUUGGAGGGAAAACAGACUCAGUGUUCUCCAGUGGUGAGCACCCCCAUCCCCCCAACCAGACUCAGUGUUCUCCAGUGGUGAGCACCCCCCUCCCCC